rnacentral:rRNA from 1 species
UUAUUGGGCAUAAAGGGCAUCUAGGCGGCMGACAAGUCUGGGGUGAAAACUUGCGGCUCAACCGCAAGCCUGCCCUGGAAACUGUCUGGCUAGAGUGCUGGAGAGGUGGACGGAACUGCACGAGUAGAGGUGAAAUUCGUAGAUAUGUGCAGGAAUGCCGAUGAUGAAGAUAGUUCACUGGACGGCAACUGACGCUGAAGUGCGAAAGCUAGGGGAGCGAACAGGAUUAGAUACCCUGGUAGUCCUAGCUGUAAACGAUGAUUACUGGGUGUGGGCAUGAAGAGUGUCCGUGCCGAAGCAAAUGCGAUAAGUAAUCCGCCUGGGGAGUACGGCCGCAAGGCUGAAACUCAAAGGAAUUGACGGGGACCCGCACAAGCGGUGGAGCAUGUGGUUUAAUUCGACGCAACGCGAGGAACCUUACCAGAUCUUGACAUCCUACGGAUGCCUGUGAGAACAGGCAGUGCCUUCGGGAACGUAGAGACAGGUGGUGCAUGGCUGUCGUCAGCUCGUGUCGUGAGAAG